CCUACGGGUGGCAGCAGUGAGGAAUAUUGGUCAAUGGUCGGGAGACUGAACCAGCCAAGCCGCGUGAGGGAUGAAGGUACAGAGUAUCGUAAACCUCUUUUGUCAGGGAACAAAGGCGGGGACGUGUCCCCGGAUGAGUGUACCUGAAGAAAAAGCAUCGGCUAACUCCGUGCCAACAGCCGCGGUAAUACGGAGGAUGCGAGCGUUAUCCGGAUUUAUUGGGUUUAAAGGGUGCGCAGGUGGUCUGUUAAGUCAGCGGUAAAAGCCCGGGGCUCAACCCCGGCCCGCCGUUGAAACUGGCAGUCUCGAGUUGGAGAGAGGUAGGUGGAAUGCGCGGUGUAGCGGUGAAAUGCAUAGAUAUCGCGCAGAACUCCGAUUGCGAAGGCAGCAUGCCGGCUCCACACUGACGCUGAGGCACGAAAGCGUGGGUAUCGAACAGGAGUAGAUACCCCUGUAGUC
rnacentral:rRNA from 1 species